rnacentral:rRNA from 1 species
GUGAGGAAUUUUCCGCAAUGGGCGAAAGCCUGACGGAGCAAUGCCGCGUGAAGGAUGAAGGCCUAUGGGUUGUAAACUUCUUUUCUUAGAGAAGAAUAUUGACGGUAUCUGAGGAAUAAGCAUCGGCUAACUCUGUGCCAGCAGCCGCGGUAAGCCAGAGGAUGCAAGCGUUAUCCGGACUGAUUGGGCGUAAAGCGUCUGUAGGUGGCUUCAAAAGUCUCCUGUCAAAGAUCAGGGCUUAACCGUGGGACGGCAGGAGAAACUCUGAGGCUAGAGUUUGGUAGGGGCAGGUGGAAUUCCCGGUGGAGCGGUGAAAUGCGUAGAGAUCGGGAGGAACACCGAAGGCGAAAGCGCUCUGCUGGGCCACAACUGACACUGAGAGACGAAAGCGAGGGGAGCAAAAGGGAUUAGAAACCCCGGUAGUCC